UGUGAAGUGUGGGGUGGGGCAUUGUGUGCCACAUGCCUGGGCUCCCACCUGGGCCAGUGGGCUUCAGUCUGUAGGUGACUACGGAAGGAGGAGGAGCUCCGUCUGUUCUCUCUUCAGGCAGUUGUUGUGUCUCUCAGCGCUUGUUGGGUUCACAACCUAUUAAAUAAGCCAGCUGGUCUUCACCCUCCCAGACAAGUCAACUCAGGGGAGGCGGCAGGGUGUGGGCCUUGGCCCGCAGCCCUAGCCGGGGCCGGGGCCAGGGCUGGUGCCCGGGGCCGCGCUGUGAGGUGGGCAGGCGAGGAGCGGGAAGACCAUCUCUGCAAGUGCAGCAUAGCCUCGGCCUAGGACAGCGGGAGUGCGUGGCCAAAGCUGUGAGCAGAGGCACAGGUGGUGGCAGACAGUAGAGGCACCCCAUGGGGAACCUACUGACCUGUUGUGUGCGCCCUAGCGUCAGCCUCGAGUUUGACCAGCAACAGGGUCGGUGUGUCCCUCUGAAUCUGAGAUCUAUGAGGCAGGAGCUGGGGACAGGAUGGCAGGAGCACCCAUGGCUGCUGCUGUACAGCCUGCUGAGGUGACUGUUGAAGUUGGUGAGGACCUCCACAUGCACCACAUUCGUGACCGGGAGAUGCCUGAAGCUUUGGAGUUUAACCUUUCUGCCAAUCCAGAGGCAAGCACAAUAUUCCAGAGGAACUCUCAAACAGAUGCUUUGGAGUUUAACCCUUCUGCCAAUCCAGAGGCAAGCACAAUAUUCCAGAGGAACUCUCAAACAGAUGUUGUAGAAAUAAGAAGAAGCAACUAUACUAACCAUGUAUCUACUGAGCGUUUCAGUCAACAAUACAGCUCGUGUUCGACAAUAUUCCUUGAUGACAGCACAGCCAGCCAGCAUUAUCUUAUAAUGACAAUAAUAUCAGAUGCAGAUAGAUCUUUGACCAUACUUGAUGAACAGUUAUACUCAUUUGCGUUUUCCACCGUGCACAUUAUGAAGAAAAGAAAUGGAGGUGGGAGUUUAAAUAACUAUUCCUCCUCCAUUCCAUCGACUCCCAGCACCAGCCAGGAGGACCUUUAUUUCAGUGUUCCUCCCACUGCCAACACACCCACGCCCAUUUGCAAGCAGUCCAUGGGCUGGUCCAACUUGUUUACAUCUGAGAAAGGGAGUGACCCAGACAAAGAGAGGAAAGCCCUGGAGAGUCACGCUGACACCAUCGGGAGCAGCACAGCCAUCCCCAUUAAACAGGGCAUGCUCUUAAAGCGAAGUGGGAAAUGGCUGAAGACAUGGAAAAAGAAAUAUGUCACCCUGUGUUCCAAUGGCGUGCUCACCUAUUAUUCAAGCUUAGGUGAUUAUAUGAAGAAUAUUCAUAAAAAAGAGAUUGACCUUCAGACAUCUACCAUCAAAGUCCCAGGAAAGUGGCCAUCCCUAGCCACAUCGGCCUGCGCACCCAUCUCCAGCUCUAAAAGCAAUGGCCUAUCCAAGGACAUGGACACCGGGCUGGGUGACUCCAUAUGCUUCAGCCCCAGUAUCUCCAGCACCACCAGCCCCAAGCUCAACCCGCCCCCCUCUCCUCAUGCCAAUAAAAAGAAACACCUAAAGAAGAAAAGCACCAACAACUUUAUGAUUGUGUCUGCCACUGGCCAAACGUGGCACUUUGAAGCCACGACGUAUGAGGAGCGGGAUGCCUGGGUCCAAGCCAUCCAGAGCCAGAUCCUGACCAGCCUGCAGUCAUGCAAGAGCAGUAAAAGCAAGUCCCAGCUGACCAGCCAGAGUGAGGCCAUGGCCCUGCAGUCGAUCCAAAACAUGCGUGGGAACUCCCACUGUGUGGACUGUGAGACCCAGAAUCCUAAGUGGGCCAGUUUGAACUUGGGAGUCCUCAUGUGUAUUGAAUGCUCAGGAAUCCACCGCAGUCUUGGCACCCGCCUUUCCCGUGUGCGAUCUCUGGAGCUGGAUGACUGGCCAGUUGAGCUCAGGAAGGUUAUGUCAUCUAUUGGCAAUGACCUAGCCAACAGCAUCUGGGAAGGGAGCAGCCAGGGGCAGACGAAACCCUCAAUAGAGUCGACGAGGGAAGAGAAGGAACGGUGGAUCCGUUCCAAAUAUGAGCAUAAGCUCUUUCUGGCCCCACUACCCUGCACUGAGCUGUCCCUGGGCCAGCACCUGCUGCAGGCCACCGCUGAUGAGGACCUGCGGACAGCCAUCCUGCUGCUGGCACAUGGCUCCCGUGAGGAGGUGAACGAGACCUGUGGGGAGGGAGACGGCUGCAUGGCGCUCCAUCUGGCCUGCCGCAAGGGGAAUGUGGUCCUGGCGCAGCUCCUGAUCUGGUACGGGGUGGACGUCAUGGCCCGAGAUGCCCACGGGAACACAGCGCUGACCUACGCCCGGCAGGCCUCCAGCCAGGAGUGCAUCAACGUGCUUCUGCAGUACGGCUGCCCCAACGAGUGCGUGUAGUAUCUGUUUUAUUUGACUGCAGUCUCCUUGGUGCAAAAACAAAAUGGGAAAAAUAAGGAUAACUCAGAAUUUCAAAAGGAAAUCACAAAUUCAGCUAAUAAUAGCAUUUUCAGUACUUUUCGUAAACUAAGUAAAUACACAAAAUGUUGAUUUUUCUGACCAUAAGACAUAUUUUAUGUCCUUUUGCCGAGGUGGGUGUGUUAGUCUCAGGCCCUCCUGGCCACAUUGCCCAAGUCACACAGGCUUCUGUAUUAUGUAUUUAGAUAAGAUGUGUGAAAAUAUAUUUGAAAAAAAGUUCAUAAAUAUGCAUUGAUUUUUGUACAUAUGACACCUCUUUUUCAUUUUUAUUUUUAUUUUUUUUGGACGAUGUUUUGCUCUGUCGCCCCAGCUGGAGUGCAGUGGCGUGAUAUCUGCUCACUGCAAGCUCUGCCUCCCGGAUUCACACCAUUCUCCUGCCUCAGCCUCUCAGGUAGCUGGGACUACAGGUGCCUGCCACCACACCUGGCUAAUUUUUUUGUAUUUUUAGUAGAGACGUGGUUUCACCAUGUUAGCCAGGAUGGUCUCGAACUCCUGACCUCGUGAUCCACCUGCCUCAGCCUCCCAAAGUGCUGGGAUUACAGGCGUGAGCCACCGUGCCCGGCCCAUGGCACCUCUCUUAAUUUAUAAAUUGAACUGGAUGUGAACUAAUAAUGUCAGCUAGUUGAGAUAAGAGCGUUACAGAUCUGGGCGCAGUGGCUCACACCUGUAAUCCUAGCACUUUGGGAGGCCUAGGCGGACUGAUCACCAGGUCAGGAGAUCGAGACCAUCCUGGCUAACAUCAUGAAACCCCAUCUCUACUAAAAAAUACAAAAAAUUAGCUGGGCAUGGCCGGGCGUGGUGGCUCACACCUGUAAUCCCAGCACUUUGGGAGGCCGAGGCAGGCAGAUCACGAGGUCAGGAGAUCAAGACCAUCCUGGCUAACAUGGUGAAACCCCGUCUCUACUAAAAAUGCAAAAAAAAAAAAAAAAAAAAAAUUAGCCAGGUGUGGUGGCAGGCACCUAUAGUCCCAGCUACUCGGGAGGCUGAGGCAGGAGAAUGGCGUGAACCCAGGAGGCGGAGCUUGCAAUGAGCUGAGAUUGCAGCACUGCACUCCAGCCUGGGCGACCAAGCGAGACUCCAUCUCAAAAAAAAAAAAAAAUUAGCUGGGCAUGGUGGCGGGCACCUGUAGUCCCAGCUACUUGGGAGGCUGAGGCAGGAGAAUGGCAUGAACUCAGGAGGCAAAGCUUGCAGUGAGCAGAGAUUGUGCCACUGCACUCCAGCCUGGGCAACAGAGCGAGACUCGGUUUCAAAAAAAAGAAAAGAAAAGGAGGGUUACAGAUCAUUGCACAUGGAAAAUAUUCCCAGCAGUAAACACUUCCAUUAAUGUGAUCUACAGCUUUUAAAAAGGAGCAUCUCAGAAUAAGAUGGUGGUACAAUUUGCUUAUUGAGAAAGGAAAAAAAAACACACAAGUAUAUUACAAAGGGAAAAGAAGGAAUGUGAUUUCUCAUGAUUGAAAGCUUGAUUUAGAUUGCAUACAGCUUUUGCUACCCAAGACCAAGCGGCUCUGGCAAGACAGGGUGGUUUUCCAAAUGCCAGACCGAGGUGCCUUAUGAAGGCAGCUGCCGAUGGUUCCAGAUGUAGAGAGAUAGGUGAUGCAGGAGGGAAAGCUGGAUUGGAAAAGGGAGAGUUUUGUAGACGGGCUACGCUCAUUGUGGCUUUGAAAGAGCAGAGCCGGCAGCCUCUAGUCAUCAUUUGGAUAUACAGGACUAGAGCAUGAAUCUGAUGUAGAGCUACAGAAUGAAGAGCAACAGCAGCUGUUUAAAUACCGAGAAAGUGUGUAGAAUGAAAUUGGACAAGCCUAGCAUGGUGGUUUCAUGCCUUUAGUCCUAGCUACUUCGGAGGCUGAGGUGGGGGAAUUACUUGAGCUCAGCAGUUUGAGUCCAGCCUGGGCCAGAUGGUGAGACCCUGUAUCUUAAGAAAAGAAAAAAUAAGACCAGGUACAGUAUCUCAUGCCUGUAAUCCCAGCACUUUGGGAGGCCAAGUUGAGAGGAUUGCUCGAGUGUAGGAGUUCAAGACCAGACUGGGCAAUAAAGUGAGACCCAUUUCUACCAAAAAAAAAAAUCAAGAAAUUAGCUGGACAUGGUGGCACAUGCCUGUGGCCCCAGUUACAUGGCAUGGCAGGCUGAGGCAGGAAGAUCACUUGAGCCCAGGAGGUGGAGGCUGCAGUGACCCAUAUUCAUGCCACUGCACUCCAGCCUGGGCAACAGAGUGAGACCCUCUCUCAAAAACAGAUAAAGUGGACAGAAAAUAGGUUGGUAAGGACUAAUCAUUUAAGGGACAAGCCCCCAGAAGAGUGGCUACUAGAGUGGGAGGAGGAAAAGCAGAAGGAGAAAGAGUUGAAGAUAGGUGAGGCUGUGGUCCCAGUGCUGAAUUCUGCCAAGCAGUGACUUGAUUCAUGAACACUCACUGGAUGCUGACCCUGUUGCUCUUCUGAGUGCUGGGGUAGAGGGGAGGAGAGAUGGAGCACAGUUCUUGCUUUUAUGAGCUUAUGUUCUAGGAAGUUCAAGUAUUUUUUCAGGUAGUAUGAAAUAGCAGGAAGAGGAAGCAGGCUAAAGGGACACAGAGUGAUUGGGGGCUAUUUUAAGUAGAAUGAUAAGGAAGAGCCUGUCUAGAGAGCUAUUUGAACAGUGACCUGACUGAAGGGACAACAGAAAGCAUUGCUGACAUUACAGGUAGCAGGAUGACUGCCAAGACAGAAACGCAUUUCAUAUGUGUUUGAGGAACAAGCAGCAAGGUGACCAGCAUGGGGAGAGUGAAGAAUGAGGGAAACCUUGAAUGAGAAUAAAGCAGUUCCAUCUUGGAUGCUAAUCUGCCAUAUUCUGAUUAAUCCCAGUUCCAAGAAUUCAUCUACGAUUUCUAUUUUAUCUUUUUAAAAAAAUAUUUUUUAUUUUUUAUUUUUUGAGACUGAGUCUCACUCUGUCUCCCAGGUUGGACUGCAGUGGCACAAUCUCAGCUCACUGCAAACUUCACCUCCUGGGUUCAAGCAAUUCUCCUGCCUCAGCUUCCCGAGUAACUGGGAUUACAGGCGCCUGCCACCACGCCUGGCUAAUUUUUGUAUUUUUAGUAGAGACGAGGUUUUACCAUGUUGGCCAGGCUGGUCUGGAACUCCUGACCUCAGGUGAUCCGCCCACCUUUGCCUCCCAAAGAGCUGGGAUUACAGGCGUGAGCCACCGUGUCUGGCCAUACACAUCCCUACUGAAGCCCGCAUUACCCUUUCCCUAUGCUAUAUAAGCCCUGGGUCGGGGAGGUGGGGGUAAUGGCACAGGGAUCCACCAUCUUAUCUUGGUGUCAUCCCUGACUUGGCUUCUGUUCAUAAACGCCUAUUAAAUGUUUCUUUCUGAGAAACUGGA